UACGGGGGGGCAAGCGUUGUUCGGAAUUACUGGGCGUAAAGGGCGCGUAGGCGGCCCUCUAAGUCAGACGUGAAAUCCCACGGCUUAACCGUGGAACUGCGUCUGAUACUGGAGGGCUUGAAUCCGGGAGAGGGAUGUGGAAUUCCAGGUGUAGCGGUGAAAUGCGUAGAGAUCCGGAAGAACACCGGUGGCGAAGGCGGCCUGCUGGGCAGUUUAGCUGACACUGAGGCGCGACAGCGUGGGGAGCAAACAGG
rnacentral:rRNA from 1 species